rnacentral:lncRNA from 1 species
CACCCCGCCACUCCUGAGCACCGCACACCGGCUUCCUCCCAGUCCCUCAUCUGAGAACUCAUGAAGCCACUUGGAAUCCCUCUCUGCUUUGCCUGGCUCAUUCCAUGUCAAUUUCAGAUCUUCACUUCAGGUCAGCUCCAAGGAGGCUAUCCUUGCCCAUCUUCCUAAAAUAGAGCUCUCAAAACCUGGCUGUUUUCCUUCAGAGCACUGGCCUCCAAUUGCUCCGGUAGAUUGCAAAUGACCUGCUUUCUUUCUGUUCCCGGGCGUUUGGACCCCUGUCUUGGACCGCUGUCGGAUAGUAAAUCCCAAGUAAGGUACCUGCCGUCGGCAGAUUUGAGCUUUCUUCUUGGACACCUAAUACCCAGAGUCCUCCAGGCUCCGGUAGAUUGCAAAUGACCUGCUUUCUUUCUGUUCCCGGGCUGCGUUCGGACCCCUGUCGGAGAGUAAAUCCGAAAAAAACAAACAAAGACAUGGAUUUACUGUGCAUAUUAGCAGAUCCAUACUGGAAAAUGCAUGGAGGUUUCAUAUACACCACUUACAGUAAGUAAUAACUCAGAGUAUAAAGUCGAAAAGAAAGAAUCUGAAAUAUUAGACUUGUUCUGAAAUAAGCUUACCUAGGAUGAUACCACUUUCACUUAAUCAGGAUUUCCCAACUAUUUAACAGUGGCAAAUAUAAAAAAUCUGGUAGUUAAAAUACACAGCAGUCACUUCAUAUUACUGCCUCCCUCAACCCACUCAACUUCUGAAGAACAGGGCUUUUUCAAGUUUUGUUCCCCUUUAAGUUUUAAUAGAAAAAAAAAAAAAGUUUUAAGUCAUGUUGUACCAAUAUAUCCCCAGCAAGAAUUGCAAUUUACCAAGGUUUUCACGUGUUUUGAGAGAAAUCUUACUGAAAGACUAGUGAUGUCCAUUUUCCAGUAAAUACUGAGCGAAAAACAAUUUUUAUACCCCAAUCUGAGGUAUAAACUUGCUUUUUGUGGGAUCACAACUGCUGUAAAUUAGACAGUUGUAGCAACAAUCCAAGACAAUAACAGAAUGCCUAUGACAGUCUGCCAUAUUCUGGUGAGUGUCUAUCAAAGCUCAUCAUGAUUUUUUGUGAGAUCUUCCCCGUAAUUGGUAGCUUGGCUUCCAACAAACAUGUUCCAGUUCUCCAAUAUUUCCUCUUUAGUUAGCUUCUCAUCCUUGUUUUUGUCUGACUCAUAUACCAGAUGCCUGGCCUCAGCCUGUGCAUGAUCAUAAUCUUGAGGGAGGAUCCAGUGGCGAAUCUCAUCUUUGUCUAACUUCCCGUCCUUGUUCAGAUCCCGGAAUUCGUUAAACUGCUCCCGUUCUGAUAAAACCCAGUCUGGCUCAGGGCCAUUCUCCUCAUGGGAAAACAUAUCCGCAAUAUACUCAUCCUGAUCCACAAACCCAUCCCCGUUCUUGUCGAUGUCCUCCAGGGUUUCCAAAGCCACAAUUUCCUUCAUAUGUUCAAACUCUUCAGGAUGCAGAAAGGCAGUGAACUCCUCCGGAGUAGCUGUCAGGUCACCAUUGAGGUCUGCAGCUUUGAAUCUUCUCUCAUCACGUGGCAGCAUCUUUUUAAAGGUGUGAUGAUCUGAAGAAUCAUGAAACUCUGCGGGGUUUCCUAGGUAUAGUAACCAUAGGUGGCUUGUUUGUAUUCUUCCCAGGAAAUGUUAUCAUCCUUGUCCCUAUCAUAAUCCUUCCAGACUUUGGCGACAUUAUCAAAGAUGUAUCUUUUCUGCACCCGUUUGAUCCAGGUUUUCAGCUCCUCAGUAGUGACAAAGCCAUACCCAUCAUUGUCGAUUCGAUCAACAAUCUUCCCUAGCCUCUCCUUGCUCUCGUCCGGGGUGAGCUCGUCGAAGUUCUUGGAGUCCUCCUUGCCCAGGAAGGCCUCGUGGUCGUACUGGAAGCUCUGGUUGUCCUCAGGGGGCCGCUCGCCCAGCUCCGAGUCGGGCCGCACCACGCGCUCUUUGCGCACCGUGGGCUUGGCCCGCAGAACCCGCGGCGCCAGCACCAGCGCCAGCAGCAGCCCCAGGGCUAACCCCAGGCGGCCACCGCGCGCCAUCGUCCCGAGGAGAGGGCGGCCGGGAGGGAGACGCUGAGCGAGCGACAACAGCGGCAGCUCGGGAAUGGGGGCUCGGAGCGCGGCGGCCAAGUUUUAUGUUAUGUAUAUUUUACAAGUAAAAAAAUUUUUUCACCUCAGCCUGAACUGAACACUAGCUGACAGACGUUUUGAUUUCUUUGACCAUCACGGAAUCGUGGCCAAGCGCGGUGGCUCACAUCUGUAAUCCCAACACUUUGGGAGGUCAAGAUGGGCGGAUUGCUUGAAUCCAGGUGUUUGAGAUCAGCCUGGGCAACAUG